GAUCAUGGCUCAGGAUGAACGCUGGCGGCGUGCUUAACACAUGCAAGUCGAACGGGAAACCUUUUAUUGAAGCUUCGGCAGAUUUAGCUGGUUUCUAGUGGCGGACGGGUGAGUAACGCGUGGGUAACCUGCCUUAUACAGGGGGAUAACAACCAGAAAUGGUUGCUAAUACCGCAUAAGCGCACAGGACCGCAUGGUCUAGUGUGAAAAACUCCGGUGGUAUAAGAUGGACCCGCGUUGGAUUAGCUAGUUGG
rnacentral:rRNA from 1 species